rnacentral:rRNA from 2 species
UGGAUGCCACCAUUAGGUGGCGUGAUAGGAGAGCGUUCUAAGGGCGACGAAGGCAGACCGUGAGGACUGUUGGAGCGCUUAGAAGUGAGAAUGCCGGUAUGAGUAGCGAAAGAUAGGUGAGAAUCCUAUCCACCGUAUGACUAAGGUUUCCUGGGGAAGGCCUCGUCCUCCCAGGGUUAGUCGGGACCUAAGCCGAGGCCGAGAGGCGUAGGCGAUGGAUAACAGGUUGAGAUUCCUGUACUAGUUAAACUUGUUUGAACAAUGGAGGGACGCAGGAGGCUAAGGAAUGCACCCGAUUGGAAG